CGGGUGCGGAGAAGGCAAAAGUUCACCUGAAUGCCCCAAGAUGCUCGCGCAUCUUUGGAAACGCGAAGUGGCAUUUAGGGAGCUAGAGGCGACUCAGGCCCAACCGGCUUGAUAGAAGACGCCUCGAGCUUGGCUGAGCGGAGUUUUCGGUAUGUUUCAAGAUCCUUCGGGGUUGCGACACUAUCAACCAAUAGCGAUGUGAGGUCCGGUCAGGAUUCCUUCGGGAAUUUUGACUGAGUGAGAAGCUCAAGCCCACUUCGAGCUUGAGUGGAACGCAGUUGCCUAAAAGGUGUAGGUUGCCUACUGCAGCAUCAGCACGGCAGGAAUCGAAAAUUGACCGGCAACGGUCAGCCAGUCGAAAUCCUCUGAAAAGAGGGACAAAGCUGGGGUUCCCGUCGGGAUAGCCACGAGCCCAAGACAACGGCCGUGAAAACUAUCCGACCCGGUGGCGAUGCAAAAAAUGCAGCGCUGCCUAGUGAACGAAUGGUAACCUGAGGGGUAAGAGGCGAGACCCGUGGCACAGGCCAACGCACCGUCAAAAGCGGUGGCCGACCUGUGCCAGAUGGCCCGGAUGUGAAAGGUUCACUUCCGCAUCCAGGCCUGGUUCGCAGGUCAGUGGCCGCAACCACUGGCUGAAGCGGGCAAAUAAACCUCACCCAAGAAUCCAUGUGCCGUGAGGCCUUGGACGGCCCUGCUAUGAGGCCGACAACUCCGCGAGUCACGGAGAAUGGCGUCGGGGAGCGACCGACCUGCAUCGCAGGUGCCAAACGGUUGCAACGGGAAAGAGCGUGUGGCGAGCGCC
rnacentral:ncRNA from 1 species